AUCCUUCACCUGUUGCCUGGCUCGAGUUGUCUGGCUCCACUUUGAGCUCUUGCAGAACCAGCCCUUUUUCGUGUGGUCCAGGAAAGUCCAUGCCUGGCACCACCUCCUCCUCUAGGGACUCCACGUAGAAGAGAGUCCUGGCUGGCUGCUGAGUGCCCUGCCCAGGAGCCCCUUGCUGCAGCCUCGUGGCAACUGGAAGCAGGGUGCCAUUCAGCGGAUUGAAGGAAGAGGAGGAAGAGGACGGGGAGGACGACGAAGAGGAAGAGGAGGAAGGCUUCUUCCAGAAAGUGCUCACACCGCUUCUCUCUUGGCUUUUGAGCAGGCGGCCCUGGCUGGGUCCCCAAUGCUCAAAGCUGCCACUGCCGUCCUGUUGCAGGCAGCCUCCCCCCGCCGGGGCGCCGGUGGACGGUGACGGGUGGCUGAAGAGUUUCCAGCGGAGUCGCAGAAUGUGCUUCACAUCGAAGUCUUUUCGCCCAGAGCCUGACAUGCUUUACGCACAGAAGGCAAAAGGCUGGCAGCUCACGCAGGAUUCUGGAGGCUGGGAAGUUCAAGACCAAUGCACUAGAAUUAGGUCUAAAGAGAAUCUUCUUGCUCUGAACACACAUAGUAGAAGGCAGAAGGGCAGGAGAGAGAACAAAGCCUGUGUCUCCACAUGGCAGAAGAGCAGAAGGGACAGAACCUGCUCCUCUAUGGCAACCACCCCAUCAAUGACAAAAAUCCUAGAAGGAUGUAUGUAUAGUAAGUUGAAGUGUUGAGAAGAGAAUGGCUCAGAGGCAAGUGGGGAACAAGAUUCAAACUUCAGAGAGAGGGGGAAGAAAACCAUUUAAAUAUAUCUGGCAUAAUCCAAGACUAUUUACAACAAGUGUUCUGUGUUUCUAAUAAUAAAACAGACUUCACCUCGGAAUACCUGCAGAACUGGGACCCCAAUGACCAGGCAGAAUGAAGAACAACUUGUUGAAGAUCGCCUUUUCUGACUCCCAGCUUCCAUGGAGAAAUUAAUUCUGUUGGCUGCAGCUCUAUUCCCAAUUCCUUGGCUAGACCCUGGGUCCUUCAUGUUAGAAAACCUGGCUUUACUACUGCUACUACUACUGCUGC
rnacentral:antisense_RNA from 1 species